rnacentral:rRNA from 1 species
UGCCAGCAGCCGCGGUAAUACGAACCGUCCAAACGUUAUUCGGAAUUAUUGGGCUUAAAGGGUGCGUAGGCGGCACGUUAAGUCGGGUGUGAAAUCCCUCAGCUCAACUGAGGAACUGCGCCCGAUACUGGCGUGCUUGAGGGAGACAGGGGUAAGCGGAACUGAUGGUGGAGCGGUGAAAUGCGUUGAUAUCAUCAGGAACACCGGUGGCGAAAGCGGCUUACUGGGUCUCUUCUGACGCUGAGGCACGAAAGCUAGGGUAGCGAACGGGAUUAGAUA